UACGUAGGGGGCAAGCGUUGUCCGGAAUCAUUGGGCGUAAAGAGCGCGUAGGCGGCCCGAUAAGUCCGCUGUGAAAGUCAAGGGCUCAACCCUUGAAUGCCGGUGGAUACUGUCGGGCUAGAGUCCGGAAGAGGCGAGUGGAAUUCCUGGUGUAGCGGUGAAAUGCGCAGAUAUCAGGAGGAACACCGGUGGUGAAGGCGGUUCUCUGGGCAUUACCUGACGCUGAGGAGCGAAAGUGUGGGGAGCGAACAGG
rnacentral:rRNA from 1 species